CCUACGGGAGGCAGCAGCAGGGAAUCUUGCGCAAUGGGCGAAAGCCUGACGCAGUAACGCCGCGUGGGGGAUGAAGGCCCUCGGGUUGUAAACCCCUUUCAGCAGGGACGAAACUGACGGUACCUGCAGAAGAAGCCCCGGCCAACUACGUGCCAGCAGCCGCGGUAAUACGUAGGGGGCAAGCGUUGUCCGGAUUCAUUGGGCGUAAAGGGCACCUAGGCGGUUACGCAAGUCGGAUGUGAAAGCUCCAGGCUCAACUUGGAGAGGCCACCCGAUACUGCGUUGACUCGAGUCCGGUAGGGGAUCGUGGAAUAUCUGGUGUAGCGGUGAAAUGCGCAGAUAUCAGGUGGAACACCGAUGGCGAAGGCAGCGAUCUGGGCCGGUACUGACGCUGAAGUGCGAAAGCGUGGGGAGCGAACAGGAUUAGAUACCCUUGUAGU
rnacentral:rRNA from 1 species